rfam:Triticum aestivum genome assembly, contig: Triticum_aestivum_CS42_TGACv1_scaffold_289977_4AL
AUAGUACUCCCUCCGUCCCAAAAUUCUUGUCUUAGAUUUGUCUAGAUACGGAUGUAUCAAGUCACAUUAGUGACUUGAUACAUCCGUAUCUAGACAAAUCUAAGACAAGUAAUUUAGGACAGAGGGAGUACAAU